CGAGGAGCGGCGAGGGAGACAGCGAGGAGCGGCGAUGGAGACGGCGAGGAGCAGCCCCUAGUAGUUUUUUUUCUUUUUUGUAAAAUAUGUUUAAAUUUGAACGAACUCGCCGAUGUUUGCGUUAAAUUUGAGCCGUGUUUGCGCCGUAUUUAAGUUUUAAAAAAAAUGUGGGCGCUGCGACUGGGGGGCAUCACGCCCCCAACGCGCGGUUUAGCGCCGGUGCGCCCCCAGGGGGCGAUUGUUAGCCCCUCCUGGGGGGCCAACGGCUGGAGAUGCUCUGAGUUCCCCUCUUCUGCUGUUAACAGUUAGUUGGAUAAAGCAUGUCUCACAGAAGAAUCAUGCAUUUUGAUAGCUCACAGUAGUUGUAUACUAUGAAUGGGCUCAUAUUUUCCUUAUGAUGCUUUGUUUGUUUGAUGAAAACAUUCUCAUUUCUAAAUAAUCUAUCCUUAAACCGUUGAUUGCAAACUAUUUCCCAUUUUUUCCUUUUAAAAAAUUACACAGGAGCACUCCAAUAAAUUAAACUGUGCAAAUAUGCAAGUGAGAACAACCUCUUGUGCUCAACAAUGUGCCAUCUUUCUCCAGCUUCUUGAGCUCAACUAUUUUCCAAUUUGUAACUUUAUGAAUCAGAUUCUAAUUGCAAUAAAAGCACCUUAUGGUAUAGCUCCUAAAGUCCCAGAUCUUGAUGAGGCAAGUAGGAGUAAUGGUAUCUUUGUUAUGUCUAGGACUUAAGAUGGAUGCUACAUUUUGUUAAUGAAGCCUAUUUACUUGCCCAUGCAGGUGAAUGAUUAUCUUUUGAGAUAUAGGACUGCCCCAAGGAGCACUAUGGGUCCGAGUGUCUGAAAGAUGUGUAGUUUAUAGAUAUUAUUGAAGCUGCCUAAACAGCAUGUGUGGUUGCAAAUACAAAUCGAUAGCUCCUGCUAAUUGGCUGGUGGAAGUGGUGACGCAUCAAGGUGCAAUGCAGCGAUGUCAUGUUCAUACUACGGGAAAGGAAGAGCUCCUAAUAUUUUUUAUGCUCCAUGCCGUAGGCAUUUGGUUAAGUCAAAGGCAACAGGAAGGCACGACGAUGAUCAAGGUCCUUAUGUACGCUGAGUACUAUCUUUUGUCUACCAUACCGUAUGAGAAUAGAUCAGGAUGAGGCAACUAAGUCAUGUACAAUGUAUUUACUGGUGGUGUCUACAAGGAGAACAUAUAUGGCCUAUAUCUGACUUUAUGAACUAUUAUAUCGAUGAUGUCGAGUUAUGUCUACAUAGACUGCCUUCGUAGGACGCGAAUUUGGUGAACAUGGUUCCACGUGCACCCCUUAUGAAUAGUAAAUUCAAAACAAAUACUGGAAAAAAAAUCAAAAAAAUCUGAAAUUUUUAUGUAAUAUACAUAGUCAAUCGGUAUACUCACGUAUGAAGUUUCACAAAGAAAUCGCAUCCAUAGUAAUCUAGGCAAAAAUGAAAAAAAAUCCGAAGCUAUAUUAAGAAACAUUGUUCGACGAAUAGUAUUGUCCUAAUUGUAUUUUCUUCACUAAGGAUACUAUGGGUGUCAAUACAUCAUGG